rnacentral:lncRNA from 1 species
ACCAUCUUUUAGCAAAUUCCAUUCAUAAAGCUCCAUACACUCAAAGGCUUAAGCAUUAUAAGUCUAUGGCACCAUGCAACAAAUGAGAUGCAUGGAUCAACCAAAAAAUUCUUUGUUUUAUUGCCAUUAUGGAUCCUAAAUCAUUAAAAUUGAACUGAACAAAUCAAAACCCAUUUUUUCCUCAACAACAAGCCAGAUUUUUCUUAUUGCAGGUCUAAUUUUACAUAAACCAUGUAUCCAAAUCACAAUUUUUUCGAGCUACCUAGAAAUGAGAAAAAAUGAGAGUGAGUUUUCAAAAAGCUGACCUCUGAUUCGCUUCGACAUACAGGUUCAUGCUUGUGGCUUUCCGGUAAAACUCACUGCAAUACAUCAUGGAUGACAAGGACGGUCAUUGCAGAAGGAACAUGUAAAAUAACUUCAUAGAAUUGAAGAUUGGGAAUAAAACAUAGUAAGCAUAUUCAACUAAAUUGAAAGCUUAAAUGAGCUUGAAUAAGAGAGGAGUUGAACAUUAUUAUAAAAAUUAAAACUAG